rnacentral:rRNA from 1 species
UACAGAGGGUGCGAGCGUUGUUCGGAAUUAUUGGGCGUAAAGGGCGCGUAGGCGGUGCGGUAAGUCACCUGUGAAACCUCUGGGCUUAACUCAGAGCCUGCAGGCGAAACUACCGUGCUGGAGUGUGGGAGAGGUGCGUGGAAUUCCCGGUGUAGCGGUGAAAUGCGUGGAUAUCGGGAGGAACACCUGUGGCGAAAGCGGCGCACUGGACCACAACUGACGCUGAGGCGCGAAAGCUAGGGGAGCAAACAGG